GUCAGCAUUGAUGAGUUAGGGUUGGUUUAUUACUGUACAAACAUAGACAAAACUGCAAAGUUCAGCAAAGGCAUUAGACUUGUCCAGACCCCAUGGAUCACACCGAUCACUGUCCCAACUCAACCUUUAGAGUGUCAGAAUCACACUGUAGUAGUGUACCCUACAGAGCCGACAUUGUGGCAGAUGGUUACUGUCAUACUUGCUCUGAUCAGUGUUGUUCUGGUAUUUGGGUUCAUAGCAUACUUUGGCUUUUGUAUGUUUUUUGCUGGUCGCAGUAACAAACACCCACAACGACGAAGAAACUGACCUUCUGCAGCUUAACUGAUAGAUCCAGAAAACGCUGACCUGAUGUCUCUUUUGGGAGGUGUCCAGACAACUGGCAAAAAAUUUAAAUAUGUCCCAGCUUCAGCUAUAAGGGUCCCUGGGAUCAAUUUACAUAGAACAGAAACCCAACAUACAUUUUAGAAUAUAACGGACAAUUUUCUUGGGUUUACUGAAUAAUAAAUGUUUGCAUAG